rnacentral:tRNA from 1 species
UGUUCUCUUGUUUAGUUGGUUAAAGCGUCGGUCUAGCGAAUAUGGAGUCGUGGGUUCAAAUCCCACCAGAACAC